GCUAAAAAAGUAAGGUUACAAAUUAUAGUAACCAUGUGGUGUAUAUAAUGGUUUGUGCUUUUUUUUCCUAGUUUGCCCUAAAUUACGAUUAGUAUCGAAUGUUAAUAGUCCAAAUUAGUGGUAUAAAAGUGUUAGUACGUUGUGAACAAGCAGUUAGACACGAAAACGAACAUCUAUAACAAUUACCAACUUAUAACAAAGAAAAGGUCCGAAAUCGGGCCUUUUCUUUUUGCGUUUCCUCGCGUGGUUUAUCCCGGAGGAACUUCUUUCAUCCGCAGUGAAGCCAAAGGACCAGUUUGGAGUGUAGGAAAGUUGGUUGGUGUGCCGAUAACCAGCUUAGUUCCGCCCGCCAUCUUGGAGCGUCCGUUCCAACAAUAGCAUCGACGCCAUUUUGAAAUUUCGGCCAUUGCAACAUCUCUACGGCUUCCUUCCCGCUUUCAACGUUCGGUCAGUCGGAUUAAGACCAAUCCCGA
rnacentral:lncRNA from 11 species